ensembl:lncRNA
GGAAAGCAGCGUGGUUACAUCAUCUUGCACAACAGGUCCCCGCUCUGUGGCUGGGCCAAGGGAGCCCGUCAGAGCUGCAGAAAAUAUGAAAAAACUCAGGAUGGCAAUAAUUAAACGAUAUCACAGCGUGUUGCAUGUAAUAACAAUACGUUCCAGUCUGCUCCUCGCAUGGAAACCCCCAGGUAUACCUGGCAACGAGGGAGACAGGGAGCGGAAUGCUAAUGACGGCGGAGGAGGGGGGCACCUAAUGGCGCUGUGGCUAAUUGCCAGUUGUGCCUGCUCUUUGAACAGUCUUCCCGUGCUGAGCUAGGCAUAUUUUUGGCCUGUAGAAAACGGGGCAGGGUGUUGAUAGGGCUCUGUGUUUUCCUUAAGCUUCCUACGGGCCGGCGGUGCGAAGGCCUACGGAGCCACGAGGUCUGCGUGCGGCCCAGGAGCGGCCUGCAGGGUUUGGAAACCCACAGCAGCGGGUCAGACCCGAGGAAAGAAACUGCAAUUGUGGAGAGCACCAGAUGGAAACUGAUGCAGGCUGCGUAUCGGCAGCGUAGGGGAAUGAACCGGACGAGAGGAGAAUAUUUAUUUAUUAUGGGAAUGUCUGAAGUUAUCCUUUCUGCUGGCUUUUGGCUCAAGGAGGAGCACCCCGCGUGCCACCCAGAGUCAAAGGGUAAGUGCAGUGAAAAAUAACAAUCAAAGAAAAAAAAAACAGCAAGGA